CCAGACUCCUACGGGAGGCAGCAGUGGGGAAUAUUGCACAAUGGGGGAAACCCUGAUGCAGCGACGCCGCGUGAGUGAAGAAGUAUUUCGGUAUGUAAAGCUCUAUCAGCAGGGAAGAAGUUGACGGUACCUGAGUAAGAAGCCCCGGCUAACUACGUGCCAGCAGCCGCGGUAAUACGGAGGAUGCGAGCGUUAUCCGGAUUUAUUGGGUUUAAAGGGUGCGUAGGCGGACGCUUAAGUCAGCGGUAAAAUUGCGGGGCUCAACCUCGUCGAGCCGUUGAAACUGGGUGCCUUGGGUGGGCGAGAAGUACGCGGAAUGCGUGGUGUAGCGGUGAAAUGCAUAGAUAUCACGCAGAACUCCGAUUGCGAAGGCAGCGUGCCGGCGCCCAACUGACGCUGAAGCACGAAGGCGUGGGUAUCGAACAGGAUUAGAUACCCUGGUAAA
rnacentral:rRNA from 1 species